AUGCAAGCUGUAAAGGCAGUCAGUGGCAAAAGAUCAAUUCUUGUCGACCUUUUACGAUCAAAAACCACUCAAGGCUUCAAGAUCUACGACGACAUAAAAGCAAAAUACCCCUCAGCAUUGAGCAGAGUUUAUCCCAUGAAAGGUGACGUGAGUCUGCCGGAUUUAGGUCUUUCGCGAGAAGAUAGAAAUCUGUUGUUGGAGAAAGUAAAUAUAGUGUUUCACGCCGCGGCCACUGUGAGAUUCGACGAACCGUUGCACGUGGCUGUUAAUGUGAAUACGAAUGGUACUGCUCGUGUCAUCGAGCUUUGGAACGAACUAAGGCAUCCAAUUAGCUUCGUUCACGUUAGCACAGCCUUUAGUAAUGCGAAUCUACAUGAGAUCGGGGAAAAAGUUUACACGUAA
rnacentral:lncRNA from 1 species